rnacentral:rRNA from 1 species
GCGAGCGGCGGAUGGGUGAGUAACACGUGGGGAACCUGCCCCUAAGUCUGGGAUACCAUUUGGAAAUAGGUGCUAAUACCGGAUAAUAAAGCAGAUCGCAUGAUCAGCUUUUGAAAGGCGGCGUAAGCUGUCGCUAAGGGAUGGCCCCGCGGUGCAUUAGCUAGUUGGUAAGGUAACGGCUUACCAAGGCGACGAUGCAUAGCCGAGUUGAGAGACUGAUCGGCCACAUUGGGACUGAGACACGGCCCAAACUCCUACGGGAGGCAGCAGUAGGGAAUCUUCCACAAUGGACGCAAGUCUGAUGGAGCAACGCCGCGUGAGUGAAGAAGGUUUUCGGAUCGUAAAGCUCUGUUGUUGGUGAAGAAGGAUAGAGGUAGUAACUGGCCUUUAUUUGACGGUAAUCAACCAGAAAGUCACGGCUAACUACGUGCCAGCAGCCGCGGUAAUACGUAGGUGGCAAGCGUUGUCCGGAUUUAUUGGGCGUAAAGCGAGCGCAGGCGGAAAAAAUAAGUCUAAUGUGAAAGCCCCUCGGCUUAACCGAAGGAACUGCAUCGGAAAACUGUUUUUCUUGAGUGCAGAAAGAGGAGAGUGGAACUCCACGUGUAGCGGUGGAAUGC